GUCGAUCUCUAGUGGAUCUUCUCAAUGGAAUCUCAACUGGUGGUGGAGGUGCUUAUUCAGUUGGUUCAGCAUCAUCAACUGUAGGAGUAUCAUCACUUGCAUUCUCACCAUGAUCUUCUUAUUCAUCUCCCCCAUGAUCAUCAUGAACUACAGGUGAAGGAACUGGACCCAAACUCCAAGGAAUAUAAACAGAGGUUUCUGGCUUCUCAAUAUUAUCACCAUUAUCAAACAAUUGGUCUUCAAGAAACACAACAUCUC
rnacentral:lncRNA from 1 species